rnacentral:tRNA from 1 species
AAGAUUUUAAGUUAAAAUAACUAUUAAUUUUCAAAAUUAAAAAUAAAGAUUGAUUUCUUUAAGUCUUA